rnacentral:lncRNA from 14 species
AAGAAUUAACUGCUAACUUGUUAGCCCUAGUAACAACGUCCCAAUGUUCAUCUCUCUGAUACAGCAGGCCAGAGCUUUGUCAGACAAAGAACACAAGCCAAGCCUGCCUCUGAAACCACACCAUGGCAACGAUAAGUUUCUCACGUCC